AACAGAAACUGUUAAACUCCUGCAGCUUGGCCGACUCAAAAUGGCUUCCCUUUCUAGACUCCCCCUACAGGUGUCUCUACCUGCCCUUUUAUUCCUGUAGCUCCGCCCCUUUCUCAAUUGGGCAAUACCAUUACUACAGGGUAGGGGCACCUUAAAGGUGUUCCAGUAAGGAGUCUCUGGUAGCACAUCCGGAGCUCCAAAGAUACUACAAGAAGGGGAGUUAACAUGGCCGCCAUUCCCCAGGAAGCGCCUUAAGGACAACAACCAGGUCGUGGUGGUAAUGAUGGCGGAUGUGGAGGUCGGUGAGGGUGCUCUGGGUAAGUCACACACAAUGAGGAGUGUGCCCACGCUGCAGCAGUGCGCGGGUAGAGAGGCUGGUGUUGCCCAACAGAAUGUCCACAGCCGACUGAUUGAGGUCCAGUCUUCUGACCAGUUGACCUGAAGCUGCUCAUCUCUGAUUGGUUCCCGGCCAUUGUCCAGCCUUUCAUCUGAAGGUCAUCUGGAUCCAGUAGAGGGGGACAGAUAACCGGUCGAGAUUAGGACUGAGAUUGGCUGGGCUCGUCGUGAUAGAGCAGUUCUGACAUCACAUGACUAGAGAAUGGAGCCUGUGGAGGAGGUGCUACAGAUAGAAUGGAAUAUGUGGUAUAGAUGGAGGUAGGUGUGGUAGUGGUGGUGGUAGAAGUAGUGAUAGGAGUGGUAUUGAUUGUAGUAGAUGUAGUAUAGAUGGUGGUAUAGGUGGUGUACAUGGUGCCAUUGAUUGUGGCAGAGGUGCUAUAGAUGGCCGUAUUGAUUAUGGUAGAGGUGGUAUAGAUGGUGGUAUUGAUUGUGGUAAAGCUGGUACAAAUAGUGGUAUUGGUGGUGAUAGGGGUGGUAUAGAUGGUGGUAUUUAUUAUGGUAGAGGUGGUAUAGAUGGUGGUAGAGGUGGCGAUAAGGGUGGUAUAGAUGGUGGUAUUGAUUAUGGUAGAGGUGGUAUUGAUUAUGGUAGAGAUUGUAUAGAUGGUGGUAUUGAUUAUGGUAGGGGUGGUAUAGAUGGUGGUAGAGGUGGCGAUAAGGGUGGUAUAGAUGGUGGUAUUGAUUAUGGUAGAGGUGGUAUUGAUUAUGGUAGAGAUUGUAUAAAUGGUGAUAUUGAUUAUGGUAGAGGUGGUAUAGAUGGUGGUAUUGGUUAUGGCAGAGGUGGUAUUGAUGGUGGUAUUGACUGUGGUAGAGGUGGUAUAAAUGGUGGUAUAGAUGGUGUUAUUGAUUAUGGUAGAGAUUGUAUAGAUGGUGGUAUUGAUUAUGGUAGAGGUGGUAUACGUAGAUGGUGGUAGAGGUGGCCAUAGGGGUGGUAUAGAUGGUGAUAUUGAUUAUGGUAGAGGUGGUAUAGAUGGUGGGAUUGGUUAUGGCAGAGGUGGUAUAGAUGGUGGUAUUGACUGUGGUAGAGGUGGUAUAAAUGGUGGUAGAGGUGGUGAUAAGGUUGCCAUUGAUUAAUGUUAAAGGUGGUAUAGAUGGUGGUUUUGAUUGUGGUAGAGGUGGUAUAGAUGGUGGUACAGGUGGUGAAUAGGGGUAGUAUAGAUGGUGGUAUUGAUUGUGGUAGAUGUGGUGAUAGGGUUGGUAUAGAUGGUGGUAUUGAUUGUGGUAGAGGUUGUAUUGGUUGUAGUAGAGGUGAUAUAGAUGGUGAUACCAAUGGUGGUAGAGGUGAAUCUGGUAGUUGCCAGGUACAAGACAGGAAUCGGACCGAGCCAUUUGUUUCAACACCCCGGUUGCCAAGAGUAAUACAGUAAUCGGCUUGAGCUGCCCAUGCCAAUGCUCUGGUUGCCGAGUUCUGACUGAUGCUAUCUGUUUAACACUGCUAUCUUAAAUCUAACCUGAAACAUU